rnacentral:rRNA from 1 species
GACGAACGCUGGCGGCGUGCUUAACACAUGCAAGUCGAACGAAGUGGCGAACGGGUGAGUAACGCGUAAUCAACCUGCCCUUCAGAGGGGGACAACAGUUGGAAACGACUGCUAAUACCGCAUACUGAAGGAGGGGAUUGCGUCUGAUUAGCUAGUUGGCGGGGUAACGGCCCACCAAGGCGAAGAUCAGUAGCCGGUCUAGGGGGGUGAAGGGCCAAAUAGGGACUGAGACACGGCCCAGAAUCCUACGGGAGGGAGCAGUAGGGAAUCUUCCGGAAUGGACGAAAGGCUGACGGGGCAACGCCGCGUGAGUGAUGACGGCCUUCGGGUUGUAAAGCUCUGUUAAUCGGGACGCGGUACCGGAAUAGAAAGCCACGGCUAACUACGUGCCAGCAGCCGCGGUAAUAC